rnacentral:rRNA from 1 species
UGGGGAAUUUUACGCAAUGGGGGGAAACCCUGACGUAGCGACACCGCGUGAGCGAAGAAGCCCUUUGGGGUGUAAAGCUCUGUCAACAGGAACGAAACAAAUGACGGUACCUGUGGAGGAAGCAUCGGCUAACUACGUGCCAGCAGCCGCGGUAAGACGUAGGAUGCAAGCGUUGUCCGGAUUUAUUGGGCGUAAAGAGUUCGUAGGCGGUUUGUUAAGUCUGAUGUUAAAGACCGGGGCUCAACCUCGGAAAUGCAUUGGAUACUGGCAGACUGGAGUGCAGUAGAGGCUAGUGGAAUUCCCAGUGUAGCGGUGAAAUGCGUAGAUAUUGGGAAGAACACCGGUGGCGUAGGCGACUAGCUGGGCUGUAACUGACGCUGAGGAACGAAAGCCAGGGGAGCAAAUGGGAUUAGAUACCCCAGUAGUCCUGGCCGUAAACGAUGGAUACUAGGCGUAGUGGGGUAUCGACCCCUGUGUGCCGCAGCUAACGCGAUAAGUAUCCCGCCUGAGUAGUACGGCCGCAAGGUUGAAACUCAAAGG